CUACGAGCUUUUUGAGGGAAAAGAAACGCCAGAACUUCUUUUCUUCAUUAUUCGCACUAUGUUAUGCUUCUACAAUAUUGAAAGAUUACACAAUACAGGGUUUAAGUAAUAUUCGAGACGAUCUUAGGUUAAAACUGAAAGGAAUACCGGAAUGUAAAACAAAAUGCAGUGAUAAAGCAGCUUUCGGGGCAAAAUGGAAAAGUUGGUGCUGUGGCUGUUUAAUGUGGAAGAAAUGUUUGGAACAACAUAUGGAUAAAUUGAACUUGAAUCAUGCAAGAUCUUGGGAGCGGAAUCCGAAAAAUGAAGAUAUUGCUUAUUUAUCCAUACCAAGGACUUGGUCGAAUUCUAGCAAACCAGAUAUCAGCGACAUAUCAUUUUGUACAACUAUUUGGUCGAACUGUGAUGUUUAUAAGAUAGACAGCCGUGUAAUAAAAGAACUAAAACGUGUAAGAAAUCAAUAUAUUGGACACAAUUCUAUUUGUGAACUUUCAAGUGAACAAAAACUAGAUUUUUAUUCUAUUAUUGCUGACGUGUUUCGCGACAGUGAUGUGUCCUUACACAUAGAAAAAAACAACUGUUUAAAGGCACUUGAAGAUUUUAAAAUAAACAACCAGUUUUACAGCAUCAUGCCGUUUGAUCUCAGCAAACAGAUGAACAAUAUGCAAGUCAUUAUAUUUUUCGGGGUAGUUCUGGUGUUGGGUUACACAAUGAGUGUUAUGUCGAUAGCUUGAAAAUAGACCACUUAGACAUUCCAACAUUAUUUCUUGAAUAUGCUUACUAUCCAAGGGGUUUUGUGGUUGGUAAAUUAUUGGAGCUACAUCGAUGAACAAUACUUCCUUCAGCCGUUUGAAUGUUGUUUCUGCCCGAUUCAGUAUGUACGCUGAAGUUUAUUUUGUUGAAAAACAUCUGUCAGCUGUGGUUUCAAUUGUAGAUGUUCAUCUGGACACAGGUUGAAUUUGUUGAUAUACUGUCAUAUUGUUGAUAUACCUUUGUACGAUGUGGUUUAACUUGUUGAUAAACCUUUGCACGAUGUGGUUUAACUUGUUGAUAAACCUUUGUACGAUGAGGUUUAAUUUGUUGAUAUACCUUUGUACGAUGAGGUUUAAUUUGUUGAUAUACCUUUGUACGAUGUGGUUUAACUUGUUGAUAAACCUUUGUACGAUGAGGUUUAACUUGUUGAUAUACCUUUGUACGAUGAGGUUUAACUUGUUGAUAAACCUUUGUACGAUGUGGUUUAACUUGUUGAUAUACCUUUGUACGAUGUGGUUUAACUUGUUGAUAAACCUUUGUACGAUGAGGUUUAACUUGUUUAUAAACCUUACUACGCUGGGGUUUCAAUUGUUAAUAUACAUCUGUAUGCUGAUGUUGAAAUUGUUGAUAAACUGACAUAUUGUUGAUUUUGUUAAUAUACCUUUGUACGAUGAGGUUUAACUUCUUGAUAAACCUUUAUACGUUAGGUAUAAAUUGUUGAUGUACAUUUUUACCCUGAGGUUAAAAUGGUUGAGGUACAUCUGUAUGCCGAGGUUGAAAUCGUAGAUAAACUGGCAAAUUGUUGAUUUUGUUAAUAUACCUUUGUACGAUGAGGUUUAACUUCUUGAUAAACCUUUUACGUUAGGUAUAAAUUGUUGAUGUACAUUUUAACCCUGAGGUUAAAAUGGUUGAGGUACAUCUGUAUGCUGAAGUUGAUAUUGUUAUUAAACCUUUCUUCGCUAAGGUUGAUAUUGUUGAAAUAUUAUAAGAUUUUCAUUGCCGUUGUACUUUUGUUCCCUUAUGCAUAUGCAUAUGUACGCUCAGGUUUUAAUUUUCGGUAUGCAAUUGUAUACUGAGGAUGAAACUCUUGAGGUACAUCUGUACGCUGAGGUUCAAAUUAUUGAUAUACUGAUAUAUUGUUGAUAUACCUUUGUACGAUGAGGUUUAACUUGUUGAUAAACUUCUCUACGCUGGGAAUCCAAUUGUUGACGUUCAUAUGUACGCCGAUGUUGAAAAUUCUUGAUAAACUUGCAUAUUGUUGAUUUUGUUAAUAUGCCUUUGUACGAUGAGGUUUAACUUAGUGAUAAACCUUUUUACAUUGGGUAUAAAUCGUUGAUGUACAAAAAAAGGUUGAGAUACAUCUGCUUGCUGAGGUUGUAAUCUUCGGAUUAUUGACAUAUUGUUGAUCUUGAUGAUAUAUUUAUGUACGAUGUGAUUUAUCUUGUUUCUAAACCUUACUACGUUGGGGUUUAAAUUGUUACUAUACAUCUGUACGCUGAGGUUGAAAUUGUUGAUAGUGGCAUAUUGUUGAUUUUGUUAAUAUACCUUUGUACGAUUAGGUUUAACUUCUUGAUAAACCUUUAUACGUUAGGUAUAAAUUGUUGAUGUACAUUUCUACCCUGAGGUUAAAAUGGUUGAGGUACAUCUGUACGCUGAGGUUGAAAUUGUUGUUUAACAGGCAAAUUGAUGAUUUUGUUAAUAUACCUUUGUACGAUGGGGUUUAACUUAUCGAUAAAACUUUGUACGAUGAGGUUUAAUUGCUGAUAAACCUUUGUACGAUGUGGUUUAACUUGUUGAUAAACCUUUCCAAGCUAGGGUUUCAAUUGUAUAUAUUGUUGUUAUUGUUGAUAUAUCUUUUUACACUAAGUUUUAAAUUGUUGAUAAACUGAUAUAGUGUUGAUAUUGAUGUUUUAUCUUUUUACGCUAAGCUUUAAAUUGAUGAUAUACCUUUGUACGCUGAGGUUAAAAUUAAUAAUACACCUUUGUACGCUGAGGUGUAUUUGUUGUUAGAACCUAUGAACGUUAAGAUUUAAAAUGUUGUAUAUACAGCGCAAAGCGCUUUUGUAUGUCAAACUUGUUUUUCGCUUUCGAGCUAGCAGAACUGUAUAUAAUGAGCUUGCAUUUUUUUGCUUUUGAUAAGUGUUAAGCGUUAUCUCAAAUAAGUACUAAAAUAAUUCAAAAUAAUGACACAAGGUACAUUAAAUAGUUUGCACAUUGUCUCUUUAAAUGUCCAAUGAUUAAGAGAUAUAAAUAAACGCCAUAGAUUUAUUGAAUGGCUCAAUAAUCAACGAGCCAACAUAGUAUUGUUCUAAGAGAAUCAUUUUAUUGAAAAUACCAUUUAUCCCAUUGACAACGAGGUAAAUAGUUGGAAUACUUGGCAUAGCUUUUGAAAUCAUUUAAGCAGAGGUUGUUUAAAUCUUAUUAAUAAGAAACUUAUACAUAUAAGUAUAUAUUAGUUUUGUGAUAGGGAUGAGCGAUACAUUACACUGAACAUGGAAAUAAACAAAAAUAUAUAUACACUUCACUUAAUAUAUAUGAACCAAAAAACACUGUAGCUCAUUCUAUAAUAAAAUACUAAAUAUGAUAACCGGCCUAAGAGGCCUAGGAAUAAAGUUGAUUGGUGUCCGGUAAAAAAAGCUUUAAAAAACUGCAUUUUUCUUUUUUCGUGGUAACAAUUAAAGUAAGGGAUGCUUUUAAGAAAGCAUGGAGGAAUGGCCUUUUAUGUUUGACAUUCUUGCUAAGUUUGGUUUCAAAAAUACUUUUUUGCAACGGGUGAAAACAUUAUACAUAAUAUUUCUUUUAGGAGUUCUAAUAAUGAUUGGAUAUUUGAUGGCUUAAACAUUUUGCGAGGAUAUUAUCAAGGAUGUCUGUAUCCCCUGUUUGCUCUAUUAUUUAUAACACUUGUAGAAGUCCUUGCACUUAAAAGAAGAACAUGUAAAGCGAUCGAAUGAGUAAAUGUGAAAAACACCCAUUUAAAAUCAAACAACUUGCAGACGAUACAACCCCUUUUUGAUAAUUCACACUGAAAUCCAUGCAGCUCUGGAGAUAUUUGAUACAUUCGGUAACUUUUCCGGUCUGAAGAUUAACAUACUUAAACACUGAGUCUAUGGAUAUAACUAUUUCAAAAGACAAUGACAUAAAUCAAGUGUAUUAUAUAAAGUGAAUGCAUUAAUUAACCUGGGAGCAAAGAAAUUAACAAUGUCAAAAGCUUAACAAUUAGAGAAAAGAAACUUAACAUUUUUUGGCAAAAUCACUAUGAUAAAAGCAUUAAUGCUGCCAAACUAACAUAUCUGGCGCAAACUAUUUAUCUCCCAAUCAUGUUACAAAACCGGUUAACUCUUUAAUUUAACAUUCCAUUUUGAAUGACAAAAGAGAUAGCAUUAGGCGAACAACUAUAAACGGAAAUAAACUCGAAGGUUGUCUGGAAGUUCCCUACUUUAACUACUAUUCCGAAUGUAUGAAAAUUAAAUAAGAUGCAGUUAUAUGUAGCUCAAACAUAUGCAAUGUUUUACAAUGAUAUGUCCUGUUUUGUCUUCUAUUUUUCAUGUAUAUACUUAGUUUGUGAUUUCCGAAAAUAAACGGAUCGCCAUUAAGUGAUUCCAAAACGAAAAAAAGGUUUUAAUUGUUGAUAAACCUUUACACGCUGUAUUUUUUGGGUUUAGUUGUUGGUUGGGUUGAAAGGUUAAAACUAGAAGAAA